GAUUGAUUUCAGUCUCAAGCUGAGCACACAGAGUGUCAGAUAAAACAGCAGUUUGAGAAGCUCCAUCAGUUUCUCAGAGAUGAAGAAGAAGCUACAAUCACUGCACUGAGGGAGGAAGAGGAGCAGAAGAAGCAGAUGAUGAAGGAGAAGCUGGAGGAGAUCAACAGACACAUCUCAGCUCUUUCACAGAAAGUCAAAGAGACAGAGGAGAUGAUGGAAGCCAAUGAAGUCUGCUUUCUAAAGGAGUUUCCAGUCUCAAUGGAAAGAGUCCAGAUCUCAUCACAGCCGGAUCCAGAGACACCUGCUGGAGCUUUGAUUCAUGGUGCCACGUUACUUGGGCAACCUGC